AUUUAUAUUUGAGCUAGUAAUGGGAUAGAAUGUAAUGUCCCAAACUUUUUCUGAAAUAUUUUAUAUUUGAUUUCUUUUAUUGUUACCAUAUCCUCUAAUUUUAUCAAAAUUCCUACACUACCCUUAUUCUUUUUACCAAAACCUAACCCUAAUGCCUAAAUUAAACCCACACACUCUUACUCUCACAUAAGCAUACACUCUGAAGUCGAAACA